GAUGAACGCUGGCGGCGUGCCUAAUACAUGCAAGUCGAGCGAACAGACGAGGAGCUUGCUCCUCUGACGUUAGCGGCGGACGGGUGAGUAACACGUGGAUAACCUACCUAUAAGACUGGGAUAACUUCGGGAAACCGGAGCUAAUACCGGAUAAUAUAUUGAACCGCAAGGUUCAAUAGUGAAAGACGGUUUUGCUGUCACUUAUAGAUGGAUCCGCGCCGCAUUAGCUAGUUGGUAAGGUAACGGCUUACCAAGGCAACGAUGCGUAGCCGACCUGAGAGGGUGAUCGGCCACACUGGAACUGAGACACGGUCCAGACUCCUACGGGAGGCAGCAGUAGGGAAUCUUCCGCAAUGGGCGAAAGCUUGACGGAGCAACGCCGCGUGAGUGAUGAAGGUCUUCGGAUCGUAAAACUCUGUUAUUAGGGAAGAACAAAUGUGUAAGUAACUAUGCACGUCUUGACGGUACCUAAUCAGAAAGCCACGGCUAACUACGUG
rnacentral:rRNA from 1 species